rnacentral:rRNA from 1 species
GGUGGCGAGUGACGCACGGGUGCGUAACACGUAUGCAACCUACCUAUAUCAGGGGAAUAGCCUUCCGAAAGGAAGAUUAAUACCGCAUAACAUAAUGAAAUGGCAUCAUUUUAUUAUUAAACCUUCGGGGGAUAUAGAUGGGCAUGCGCCCGAUUAGCUAGUUGGUGAGGUAACGGCCCACCAAGGCUACGAUCGGUAGGGGGUCUGAGAGGAUGAUCCCCCACACUGGUACUGAGACACGGACCAGACUCCUACGGGAGGCAGCAGUAAGGAAUAUUGGACAAUGGCCGAAAGGCUGAUCCAGCCAUGCCGCGUGAAGGAUUAAGGCCCUCUGGGUUGUAAACUUCUUUUGUAGAGGAAAAAACCCCCCGAUUCUUUGGGGGCUGAUGGUACUCUGCGAAUAAGCAUCGGCUAACUCCGUGCCAGCAGCCGCGGUAAUACGGAGGAUGCGAGCGUUAUCCGGAUUUACUGGGUUUAAAGGGUGCGUAGGCGGCUUUGUAAGUCAGUGGUGAAAGCUCCCGGCUUAACUGGGAAAUUGCCAUUGAUACUGCUUAGCUUGAGUACAGUUGAGGUAGGCGGAAUAUGUCAUGUAGUGGUGAAAUACUUAGAUAUGACAUAGAACACCGAUUGCGAAGGCAGCUUGCUAAACUGUAACUGACGCUGAGGCACGAAAGCGUGGGGAGCAAACAGGAUUAGAUACCCUGGUAGUCCACGCCCUAAACGAUAAUUACUCGAUGUGUGCGAUACACAGUACGCGUCUGAGCGAAAGCAUUAAGUAAUCCACCUGGGAAGUACGACCGCAAGGUUGAAACUCAAAGGAAUUGACGGGGGCCCGCACGAGCGGAGGAGCAUGUGGUUUAAUUCGAUGAUACGCGAGGAACCUUACCAGGGCUUGAAAGUUAGUGAAUGAUGUGGAAACAUGUCAGCCAGCAAUGGCACGAAACUAGGUGCUGCAUGGCUGUCGUCAGCUCGUGCCGUGAGGUGUUAGGUUAAGUCCUGCAACGAGCGCAACCCCUAUCAUUAGUUGCCAGCGGGUUAUGCCGGGGACUCUAAUGAGACUGCCUGCGCAAGCAGUGAGGAAGGUGGGGAUGACGUCAAGUCAUCACGGCCCUUACGUCCUGGGCUACACACGUGCUACAAUGGCUAAUACAAUGGGUUGCUAUGUGGUACACAAUGCUAAUCUCUAAAAUUGGUCUCAGUUCGGAUUGAGGUCUGCGACUCGACCUCAUGAAGCUGGAUUCGCUAGUAAUCGUAGAUCAGCAAUGCUACGGUGAAUACGUUCCCGGGCCUUGUACACACCGCCCGUCAAGCCAUGGAAGUUGGGGGUGCCUAAAGUCGAUAACCGUAAGGAGUCGCCUAGGGUAAAACCGAUGACUGGGGCUAAGUCGAAACAAGGUA